rnacentral:rRNA from 1 species
GUCGUACGCUUCUUUUUCCACCGGAGCUUGCUCCACCGGAAAAAGAAGAGUGGCGAACGGGUGAGUAACACGUGGGUAACCUGCCCAUCAGAAGGGGAUAACACUUGGAAACAGGUGCUAAUACCGUAUAACAAUCGAAACCGCAUGGUUUUGAUUUGAAAGGCGCUUUCGGGUGUCGCUGAUGGAUGGACCCGCGGUGCAUUAGCUAGUUGGUGAGGUAACGGCUCACCAAGGCCACGAUGCAUAGCCGACCUGAGAGGGUGAUCGGCCACAUUGGGACUGAGACACGGCCCAAACUCCUACGGGAGGCAGCAGUAGGGAAUCUUCGGCAAUGGACGAAAGUCUGACCGAGCAACGCCGCGUGAGUGAAGAAGGUUUUCGGAUCGUAAAACUCUGUUGUUAGAGAAGAACAAGGAUGAGAGUAACUGUUCAUCCCUUGACGGUAUCUAACCAGAAAGCCACGGCUAACUACGUGCCAGCAGCCGCGGUAAUACGUAGGUGGCAAGCGUUGUCCGGAUUUAUUGGGCGUAAAGCGAGCGCAGGCGGUUUCUUAAGUCUGAUGUGAAAGCCCCCGGCUCAACCGGGGAGGGUCAUUGGAAACUGGGAGACUUGAGUGCAGAAGAGGAGAGUGGAAUUCCAUGUGUAGCGGUGAAAUGCGUAGAUAUAUGGAGGAACACCAGUGGCGAAGGCGGCUCUCUGGUCUGUAACUGACGCUGA